rnacentral:rRNA from 1 species
UACAGAGGUGGCAAGCGUUGUUCGGAAUUACUGGGCGUAAAGGGCGCGUAGGCGGCCUUCUAAGUCAGACGUGAAAUCCCCCGGCUUAACCUGGGAACUGCGUCCGAUACUGGAAGGCUUGAAUCCGGGAGAGGGGAUGCGGAAUUCCAGGUGUAGCGGUGAAAUGCGUAGAUAUGCGGAGGAACACCGAUGGCGAAGGCAGUCCCCUGGGCCUGUACUGACGCUCAUGCACGAAAGCGUGGGGAGCGAACAGG